rnacentral:rRNA from 1 species
UAGAGUUUGAUCCUGGCUCAAGAUGAACUCUAGCGGCAGGCUUAACACAUGCAAGUCGAGGGGCAGCAUGUCCAGCAAUGGAUGAUGGCGACCGGCGGAAGGGUGCGUAACGCGUGAGCAACAUGCCCUAUACAGGGAGAUACACCAGGGAAACUUGGUCUAAUAUCCCAUAGCAUUCAUUGAAGGCAUCUUUAAUGAAUUAAAGCUUCGGUGGUAUAAGAUUGGCUCGCGUGACAUUAGCCAGAUGGUGAGGUAACGGCUCACCAUAGCAAUGAUGUCUAGGGGUUUUGAGAGGAACGCCCCCCACACUGGGACUGAGACACCGCCCACACUCCUACGGGAGGCAGCAGUGAGGAAUAUUGGACAAUGGAUGGAAAUCUGAUCCAGCCAUGCCGCGUGCAGGAAGACGGCCUUAUGGGUUGUAAACUGCUUUUAUACGGGAGCAAUAAGGGUUACGAGUGAUCCGAUGAGAGUACUGUAUGAAUAAGGAUCGGCUAACUCCGUGCCAGCAGCCGCGGUAAUACGGAGGAUCCGAGCGUUAUCCGGAAUUAUUGGGUUUAAAGGGUGCGUAGGCGGCCAUUUAAGUCAGCGGUGAAAUUUUGCAGCUUAACUGUAACAGUGCCGUUGAUACUGUUUGGCUAGGAUUUGGUUGUAGUGUGCGGAAUGUGUGGUGUAGCGGUGAAAUGCUUAGAUAUCACACAGAACACCGAUUGCGAAGGCAGCACACUAAGUCAUUAUUGACGCUGAGGCACGAAAGUGUGGGGAUCAAACAGGAUUAGAUACCCUGGUAGUCCACACUGUA